CCUACGGGAGGCAGCAGUGGGGAAUAUUGCACAAUGGGGGAAACCCUGAUGCAGCGACGCCGCGUGAGUGAAGAAGUAUUUCCGUAUGUAAAGCUCUAUCAGCAAGGAAGAAAAUGACGGUACCUGAUUAAGAAGCCCCGGCUAACUACGUGCCAGCAGCGGCGGUAAUACGGAGGGGGCAAGCGUUAUCCGGAUUUACUGGGGGUAAAGGGAGCGUAGACGGGAGGACAAGUCUGGAGUGAAAUGCCCGGGCUUAACCCCGGAACUGCUUUGGAAACUGUGCAGCUAGAGUGCAGGAGAGGUAAGUGGAAUUCCUAGUGUAGCGGUGAAAUGCGUAGAUAUCAGGAGGAACACCAGUGGCGAAGGCGGCUUACUGGACUGUAACUGACGUUGAGGCUCGAAAGCGUGGGGAGCAAACAGGAUUAGAUACCCCAGUAGUC
rnacentral:rRNA from 1 species